rnacentral:rRNA from 1 species
GUGGGGAAUCUUCCACAAUGGACGAAAGUCUGAUGGAGCAACGCCGCGUGAGUGAAGAAGGGUUUCGGCUCGUAAAGCUCUGUUGUCGGGGACGAAUGUGCAGUAUUUGAAUAAAGUACUGUAAUGACGGUACCUGACGAGGAAGCCACGGCUAACUACGUGCCAGCAGCCGCGGUAAUACGUAGGUGGCAAGCGUUGUCCGGAAUUAUUGGGCGUAAAGGGAGCGCAGGCGGGAAGGUAAGUCGGUCUUAAAAGUGCGGGGCUCAACCCCGUGAUGGGAUCGAAACUAUCUUUCUUGAGUGCAGGAGAGGAAAGUGGAAUUCCCAGUGUAGCGGUGAAAUGCGUAGAUAUUGGGAAGAACACCGGUGGCGAAGGCGACUUGCUGGGCAGCAACUGACGCUGAGGCGCGAAAGCCAGGGGAGCAAACGGGAUUAGAAACCCCUGUAGUCC